rnacentral:rRNA from 1 species
UACGGGGGGGGUAAGCGUUGUUCGGAAUUACUGGGCGUAAAGGGCUCGUAGGCGGCCAACUAAGUCAGACGUGAAAUCCCUCAGCUUAACUGGGGAACUGCGUCUGAUACUGGAUGGCUUGGAUUUGGGAGAGGGAUGCGGAGUUCCAGGUGUAGCGGUGAAAUGCGUAGAUAUCUGGAGGAACACCGGUGGCGAAGGCGGCAUCCUGGACCAACAUUGACGCUGAGGAGCGAAAGCCAGGGGAGCAAACGGG